UACGUAGGGUGCGAGCGUUGUCCGGAAUUAUUGGGCGUAAAGGGCUCGUAGGCGGUUUGUCGCGUCGGGAGUGAAAACCUCGGGCUUAACUCGGGGCUUGCUUUCGAUACGGGCAGACUAGAGGUAUGCAGGGGAGAACGGAAUUCCUGGUGUAGCGGUGAAAUGCGCAGAUAUCAGGAGGAACACCGGUGGCGAAGGCGGUUCUCUGGGACGGUACUGACGCUGAGACGCGAAAGCGUGGGGAGCGAACAGG
rnacentral:rRNA from 1 species